AUGAUGGCCAGAAAAUUGCACUACCAACCGAACCCAAUCGAAGUGUUCGACCUGCUCAACGUCGGCGUAAAACCGGCCGGUCGGGCAGGCCUCUCCUCACGGCUUCCACGUGGCCGGCGGCGGCGGGGCGGCGGGGAACAUGGGCGGCACGGCGGAGAACAUGGUGUUCUUGUCGACGGCGCCGACGCCCGUGCCACGUCCGCUGUUGGUGAUGGCGACGAGCGCGGCGACGAGCCCGGCGUUGCCGACCAGCGUGGGCUCGUUCUGCGCGUAGCUGAUCCGCGCGUCCUUGAACUUGUCGUUCUUGUCCGGCCCGCCGACCAUGGCGCCUACGAGCACGUGAGGGUCGGCCUUCUUGGAGUCGCGCCACUUGUUCCCGCCGGUGCACGAGUACUUGAUCCCAAUUACCUGGGAUUUGGCGAAGGAGCGGAGGUCGUCGACGGUCAUGAAGUUGGGGCCGCAGUACCAGCCGGGGACGUUGACGGACUCCAUGUAGUCGGCGUAGAGCGCGGCGAGGAAGGAGUUGGCGACGUUAAACGCAUUGAACUUGGGAAAGUACAUGCACAUGUUCAUGCUGGUGACGUUGUGGUAUCCCAUGAGCGACUCCUCGUAGGGGUAGCCGGGGUUGAGGAACAUGCGCAGCCGCGACAGCAGCAGCGUGGCGCCGGGGAGCUUGUUGUCCCAGCUGAAGACGGAGAAGUCGAGGAUGUUGAAGAAGGCCUUGGCGUUCUUGGGCAGCCGGGGGUCGGUGGCGAAGCUGAUGUAGCUGUUGUUGCCCGUGGCGUAGUACAUCCAGGAGGCGCUCCACAUGAACUCGUCCCAGUAGCUGGUGGAGUUGUAGAAGUACUCGAUGGCCGGGUUGCCCCGGGAGUAGGGGGUGCGCUUCCCGUUGGCGCGCGCGAACUUGUACACCGUCGCCGCCCCCUUCACCAGCUUCUUGGAGUAGGCGGCGUUGUCGCGGAACACGAUGGAGGCCGAGGCCAGCGCCGCCGCCACCUCGCCGCCGAGGUCCGGGGCCGCGCUCGCCUGCUGCACCGGCCGCGGGUACGCCAUGUCCUCCGGCCGGUUCCAGCAGAAGUGGUCGUCCGGCGUGCUGCCGUUGAUCUUGGCGGUACCCACCUACAGGCACAAUCACCUACUAGUUGGUACUCUGAAUGA
rnacentral:rRNA from 1 species